rnacentral:rRNA from 1 species
CCCUAAACGGCCGCGGCACUAAAACCGUGCAAAGGUAGCACAAUCACUUGUCCAUUAAAUGAGGACCCGUAUGAAAGGCAACAUGAGAGAAAACCUGUCUCUUAAGGCUAGCCAAUGAAAUUGUACUACCAGUACAAAAACUGGUAUAUCAAAGCAAGACAAAAAGACCCUGUGGAACUUUUAACAAAUUGUUUAAACAUGUAAACAACAGUUUCAGUUGGGACAACUUUAGAAAAAAUAAACUUCUUAAUUUACCAAGACAAACAAGUCUAAGACAACACAGAUCCAGUAAUACUGAUUAACGAAACAAGCUACCCCAGGGAUAACAGCGCCACCUUCUCAAAGAGUCCAUAUCAACAAGAAGAUCUACGACCUCGAUGUUGGAUCAGGGUACCCAGACGGUGCAACAGCUGUCAAUGGUUCGUUUGUUCAACGAUUAAUACCCUACGUGAUCUGAGUUCAGA